AGUGAACGCUGGCGGUAUGCCUAACACAUGCAAGUCGAACGGCAGCACAGUAAGAGCUUGCUCUUACGGGUGGCGAGUGGCGGACGGGUGACGAAUACAUCGGACUCUACUUUUUCGUGGGGGAUAACGUAGGUAAACUUACGCUAAUACCGCAUACGACCUACGGGUGAAAGCAGGGGAUCUUCGGACCUUGCGCGAUUGCAUGAGCCGAUGUCGGAUUAGUUAGUUGGCGGGGUAAAGGCCCACCAAGGCGACGACCCGUAGCUGGUCUGAGCGGAUGAUCGGCCACACUAGAACUGAGACACGGUCCAGACUCCUACGGGAGGCAGCAGUGGGGAAUAUUAGACAAUGGGCGCAAGCCUGAUCCAGCCAUACCGCGUGGGUGAAGAAGGCCUUCGGGUUGUAAAGCCCUUUUGUUGGGAAAGAAAAGCAGCAGGUUAAUACCACGCUGUUCUGACGGUACCCAAAGAAUAAGCACCGGCUAACUUCGUG
rnacentral:rRNA from 1 species